GAGUUUGAUCCUGGCUCAGAUUGAACGCUGGCGGCAGGCCUAACACAUGCAAGUCGAGCGGAUGAAGGGAGCUUGCUCCUGGAUUCAGCGGCGGACGGGUGAGUAAUGCCUAGGAAUCUGCCUGGUAGUGGGGGAUAACGUCCGGAAACGGGCGCUAAUACCGCAUACGUCCUGAGGGAGAAAGUGGGGGAUCUUCGGACCUCACGCUAUCAGAUGAGCCUAGGUCGGAUUAGCUAGUUGGUGGGUAAAGGCCUACCAAGGCGACGAUCCGUAACUGGUCUGAGAGGAUGAUCAGUCACACUGGAACUGAGACACGGUCCAGACUCCUACGGGAGGCAGCAGUGGGGAAUAUUGGACAAUGGGCGAAAGCCUGAUCCAGCCAUGCCGCGUGUGUGAAGAAGGUCUUCGGAUUGUAAAGCACUUUAAGUUGGGAGGAAGGGCAGUAAGUUAAUACCUUGCUGUUUUGACGUUACCAACAGAAUAAGCACCGGCUAACUUCGUGCCAGCCGCCGCA
rnacentral:rRNA from 1 species